AUUGAGGAUUUUUCCUAAAGCCAAUAAAAAAAGAAAAGAAAAGAAAAAAGAAAAAAAAAGAUUUAUUCAGUUGAACUUUUAAGGUGCAGUAUUGGCUGGAUGGUUGUCAGAAGGACGAUGAUGUUUACGAAUUAACAGAACAGGAAUUUCAGACAGAUUUGAAGGACGGAAAUUUGUUUAUCCUCAACAGUACACAGUUGGAUCACAGCUACACAAAUUUUUGAACAAGACUAUAAGGUUUAUUGAUUUUUUAGAGUUAUCUUCCUUAAAAAUGAUUAUCUUUCUUUGAAAUUACAGUCUUAUAUUUUAAAUUGGAUUACCUCCC